AAGCAACCGACGGUUCCCCACUGCUCCCAGGAGCGGUUACCUGGGCACUCUGUGCCCCUCCUUCCUGUUCGGGCCCAGGCCGAGGACCUGCCAGUAGGGCUCAGUUGCCUGGAGCCCGUUCAGCCCAUCCCCCAGUUCACUUUGCCUGUGGGAUCUCCCCGUUGCUCCUGCCCGUGGACUGAGUGGCAGGCCAUCCUACAAGCACCCGGACACUUGACAUCAGUGGUGUCAAGACAACUCUAAGAAGGUUUUCCGUGAUCCUGCAAGCCCUGCGUUCCUUCCUGGGAUCCUGCCUUCAAUUUGAUUGCACAGGUACCACAGCAAGCCAGUGCUGUGUGCUCCGAGUUCCAGGGCGUCCUCCAGCUCAGCCACUGCACUGAGAACAUGGACUCUCUGUGGGGCCCAGGAGCCGGGAGUCACCCCUUUGGGGUCCACAACACCCGGCUGUCCCCAGACUUGUGUCCAGGGAAGAUAGUGUUGAGGGCCCUCAAGGAGAGCGGGGCAGGGAUGCCUGAGCAGGACAAGGACCCUAGAGUCCAAGAGAAUCCUGGUGAUCAGAGAAGGGUCCCCGAGGUCACCGGGGAUGCACCGUCUGCAUUUCGGCCCCUGCGGGACAAUGGAGGCCUCUCUCCCUUUGUGCCCGGGCCCGGGCCUCUGCAGACAGACCUCCAUGCCCAGAGGUCAGAAAUCAGAUAUAACCCGACAUCCCAGACCUCCUGGACGAGCUCCUGCACCAACCGAAAUGCCAUCUCCAGCUCCUACAGCUCCACGGGAGGCUUGCCGGGGCUAAAGCGGAGGAGGGGGCCAGCCUCAUCCCACUGCCAGCUGACCCUCAGUUCCUCAAAGACAGUGAGUGAGGACAGGCCUCAGGCUGUCUCUUCAGGUCACACCCAGUGUGAAAAGGCAGCAGAUAUAGCACCAGGGCAGACACUCACCCUCAGGAAUGACUCCUCCACAUCCGAGGCCUCUAGGCCCAGUACACACAAGUUUCCCCUGCUGCCACGCAGGCGAGGGGAGCCUUUGAUGCUGCCACCUCCCUUAGAGCUGGGGUACCGGGUCACUGUUGAAGACCUGGACCGGGAGAAGGAGGCGGCCUUCCAGCGCAUCAACAGUGCACUGCAGGUUGAGGACAAGGCCAUCUCGGACUGCAGACCCUCACGGCCUUCCCACACUUUGUCCUCACUUGCAACAGGGGCUUCUGGUCUGCCUGCCGUUUCUAAAGCACCCAGUAUGGAUGCACAGCAGGAGACACACAAGUCCCAAGACUGCCUGGGCCUACUGGACCCCUUAGCAUCUGCUGCAGGGGUCCCCUCUACAGCUCCCAUGUCUGGGAAGAAGCACAGACCACCAGGCCCCCUGUUCUCCUCCUCAGAUCCCCUUCCUGCCACCUCUUCUGAUUCCCAGGACUCAGCCCAGGUCACCUCGCUGAUUCCUGCCCCCUUCCCAGCUGCAAGCAUGGAUGCGGGCAUGAGAAGAACAAGGCAUGGCACUUCUGCUCCUGCAGCUGCCGCAGCAGCCCCUCCCCGCUCCACAUUGAACCCCACGUUGGGGUCACUACUGGAGUGGAUGGAGGCCCUUCACAUUUCUGGGCCUCAGCCACAGCUGCAGCAGGUGCCCAGAGGUCAGAACCAGAGAUCCCAGACCUCCUGGACCAGCUCGUGCCCCAAAUGAAAUGCCAUCUCGAGCCCCUACAGCUCUACGGGAGGCCUCCCGGAACAAAAGCGGAAGAGGGGCCAGCCUCAUCCCACUGCCAGCUGACCCUCAGUUCCUCAAACACAGACCCAGGGUGCAUGCCCAUCUCCAGCCCAGGGCAGCUCCCCUGUAAGCUGGGUGAGCUACUGAAGCCAAGGUGGGAGGCAGCUGACAACACCACCCACGGCCCAUGCAGAGGUGGUAGAAAGGCUGGACUCAGCAGGAACACCAAAUCCCGGACCAGGCAGAAACCACCCAAGACUGAGGGGCUCGUGCCAGAGCGGUGGCCACAGGGCUGAAUGGUCGCUGAGACAGAGAUGGAAGCCAGGACAAGGGAGCCCACCGGGCCCAGAUAGAGACUUCAGAACCCACUCCUGAGAACAGCGGAGCCAGGCGCUUAGAGGAAGACCAAAUGCUGCCAGGACACGGAUUGUCCAGGGAUUACAUUCCAGCAUCUUAUUAGAGGACGGAAGCAGAGGGUGCUGUUUCAACGCCACCACCAGGAGAGAGGCAGAGGGGCUGUGCCGUGCUAGAGUCCUCAGGGAGGGAGUGACCUCGACCCUGGCUGUGCUGCAAGCUGACUCCAGCCUUGGGCUCAGCAGCACCCGGUGAACAGCAGCAGGAGGAGCCGCUAGAGCAGCUGCUCAUGGGCAGAGCAGCCCUUGGGCAACUCCUGCCACCACCCCCUCCCCAGGGAGCCCAAGGCAGGGGAGGCUCAGCAUGGAAUGAAACAGGGGAGUGAGGGACACAAGGAGGUGGGAAGUGGGAGGGUCCCAGCCCCACCAAGUACGCAGAGACCCCCUUGUCGUCCUGGACACCACAGGGGCACCUGCAGGCUGGGAGACCAGGUCCUCUGUGCAUGGGCCCGGGAGGCAGACCUGCCCCAAGGGUGAUGCAGAGGCCACAGGUGCUGCACGCUCCAGCGCCCACUCUAGACAUCAGCCUCCAGGUUGACUAAGGGUCAGGUCAUGUUUGAAACCAUGCUUGGCUGGACCGGGACCCAUGGCAAGAGCACCUGGGCACCAGUGUUUAGCCCUGGUCUGCAGGAAGGAGGACAGCAGACUUUAGGACCCCACAGCAUGGCAGUGCUGACCAUUUCACCCACUUGGCCUCCUUGAGGAAUAGGGAUGGGGAGCCCUCUGGGGAUGAGCAAGGCCUUCCAGGACAGGCUCGGUUCUGGUCCCCUGCUUUUUGAGGUUGGGUUAAAAUGCCGACCAUGGCAGAGGGGUCACAGCUCAGGUUCCCACACCUCACUUUUCACAGCCUCCAAGGGCAGCAGUGCACAUGGAGGAGACGUCUCCCACGAGGCCAAGGCCUCCAAUGCUCACCGAUGCCCUCUGCGAAGCUGGGGUAGAACUCGUCAGUGAAGAGGGGCUCAGGCAGCUCACGGAAGUACAGCUUCAGCGUGCCUGCGAUGGCGUUCAUGUCCGUCUCGCUCAUCAUCACCGACAUGUCCUUCUUAUCUGGAAAGAGCACGGAAAUGCAGCGGCCUCCUUGAAGAUCCUGAUAAAUGAAGAAAAGACACAGAGAAGGAUGUGACAUGCCUGGGCCAUGGAGCACUCUGAGAUCUCAUCGCGGACACCACUGCCCACACCUCCAUCCCGUCCUGCGCAGGCCAACACUCACUGACAUCGAAGGCUGCCUUCAGUGCCUGGAUGUCUGCGGCCACACCGGCCGGACACGUGGUAGAUGCCCACCUCCUCCAUGCCUCGGCGCUCGAUCUCCUCCACGCACUGGCGCACGAUGUAGGGCACCUUGGACCUCUCUCUCCUGUGGGAGGGGGGAAUGUUCUCAGUGUCCUAACAGCCCUGCUUGGGCCAUAACACAGGAGACCUGCUCCCUAUCUGCGCACCCGGAGGUGGGGUGAGGACGGUGACGAAGGUACCCAGGUCUGGGGCUGCACACAGAGCCUUCUGCAUGCCUGUCCUCCCUCUGCAAGCUCUGUCUUCACGGCAUGUGCUUUCUCAGGAACCUUUCAAGCGGCCAGAACCCCUGCGAAUCACACAUGACCUUUGCGGGAAGGUCAGGAGGCCUGUCUAAGUCAAGUCAGCACGGGAAGGGCAUCUGACAGAUUCCAGGCCUGGGGUUAGCAGCCUGUGCCCCCGGCUGGGAGAUCAGACCCGGUGUUGGUCCUGCCACCCACGUGCUGUGUGAGAGGAGAAUCCCUGACCCCUGCCCUGGGCCUUAACACACAUCCGACGAAUGAAUGAAGGGUUGCCUCAGUACCGGUGCUCCAAGUCCUGCGAUGCUAAGUGCUUUUCUCCUCUGAGUCUUAGCAAUGGACAAUUCCAAUACCUCCACACAGGACACUAGAGUAAGAAACCUUCACAGUUAGAACGCAGUGCUGUGCGGAGGCCUUAACUUGAGUUCUGUUUUGCACCUGGAUUUACCAGCACAUCAAAGCUGCUUCGCAAGCCCCCUCAUUAGCAGGGCUUAUCUGGGGGAGCUGCUGAUGGAGUCCUCGCUGCUCAUGCCCACAGCCCUCCCAGAGUGCUAUGCGAGUGGCUGCCGUGCAGUUGGGGGUGGGGCGUGGUGUUUAGACACAGAUAGGAGUCCAGGGUAUGACUGAUGGAGGCCCCGGCCCACGUGACCAGCAAGGUCAGAGGCCCAGCCAGAUUCCAUCCUGGGGAAGCAAAUGAAUUCUCAGAGGAAGUGGUCUGUGUCUGCAUGAACUGCUCUCAAACCAACAAACAGGCUUCUCUUGGCAACAGACUCAUGACAAAGGAUUCAAGAUUGUUUGAAAAAAAAAAAAGGGGAGCAGGGAGGCAGAAAGUCCUGGAAAAGUAAAUUGUUUAUUUUACAAUAAGAAAGUGAUUACAUAUUUUUUUUUUUACAAUGGUGGAAAAUUAGAAGUCAUUGUGAAAAUGAUGUCUACCUGCCUUGCUGAUGAGUAGGAUGUGAUUUGGCUCUUUAGGAAACUGAAUUUGCAGAACUUAAGAAUAUUGAUUUAUAAAGGGCAUGGCCAUUGACCCAGUCCAUCUUAUGCAAAUCUGGAUGCCAUAAAUAAUAUUUAAAAAUGAAAGUAUUGGGGUGGAGGUUGCAGUGAGCAGAGAUUGCCCCCGCUACACUCCAGCCUGGUCGACAGAGUGAACUCUGUCUCAAAAAAAAAAAAAAAAGAAAAGAAAGAAGAAGCCAUUCCCAACGUUGCUCAUCAAAUUAUGACCAUAAAUUUCCAGGAUCAGACUAACGGCUAAAGAGACUGAUGCAUCAACACCAGGCAGAGAAUAAAGCAGAUUUUUUUGUUGUUGUUCUGGAGAGCUUCUAGGAACUUGAAAAAUACAUAUGCCACACUCUUAAGACCCGGUGGUUCUUAAUCAGGGAUGUUCAUUAAAAUGCUGGAAAACUGUAAAGACUUCCAGGUCCCAUCCAAGGAGAUUUUGCUUCUGAUUGACUGGCUAGUGGCCUGGCCAUUGGUAUUUUGAAAAAUCCCUCCAAGUGAUUCUUUUACAUCCCAGAUAGAAAACCCUAAAUUAAAGGUGAAAAAACCAGACACCAAGUGGCAUUUAAAUAAAUGUCAACUUUAACUCCACAA
rnacentral:lncRNA from 1 species